UAAGGAAUAUUGGUCAAUGGGUGCAAGCCUGAACCAGCCAUCCCGCGUGAAGGACGACUGCCCUAUGGGUUGUAAACUUCUUUUGUAUAGGGAUAAACCUACCCUCGUGAGGGUAGCUGAAGGUACUAUACGAAUAAGCACCGGCUAACUCCGUGCCAGCAGCCGCGGUAAUACGGAGGGUGCAAGCGUUAUCAGGAUUUAUUGGGUUUAAAGGGUCCGUAGGCGGACUUAUAAGUCAGUGGUGAAAGCCUGUCGCUUAACGAUAGAACUGCCAUUGAUACUGUAAGUCUUGAGUAUAUUUGAGGUAGCUGGAAUAAGUAGUGUAGCGGUGAAAUGCAUAGAUAUUACUUAGAACACCAAUUGCGAAGGCAGGUUACCAAGAUAUAACUGACGCUGAGGGACGAAAGCGUGGGGAGCGAACA
rnacentral:rRNA from 1 species